rnacentral:rRNA from 1 species
GACGAACGCUGGCGGCGUGCCUAAUACAUGCAAGUCGAGCGGAUGACGGAGGAGCUUGCUCCUCCUGAUUCAGCGGCGGACGGGUGAGUAACACGUGGGCAACCUGCCCUGUAGAUUGGGAUAACACCGGGAAACCGGGGCUAAUACCGAAUAAUCCUUCGACCCUCAUGGUCCGAGGUUGAAAGACGGUUUCGGCUGUCACUACAGGAUGGGCCCGCGGCGCAUUAGCUAGUUGGUGAGGUAACGGCUCACCAAGGCCACGAUGCGUAGCCGACCUGAGAGGGUGAUCGGCCACACUGGGACUGAGACACGGCCCAGACUCCUACGGGAGGCAGCAGUAGGGAAUCUUCCACAAUGGACGAAAGUCUGAUGGAGCAACGCCGCGUGAGUGAAGAAGGUUCUCGGAUCGUAAAACUCUGUUGUGAGGGAAGAACAAGUACCGGAGUAACUGCCGGUGCCUUGACGGUACCUCAUUAGAAAGCCACGGCUAACUACGUGCCAGCCGCCGCCGUAAUAC